UUCUGCGCCAAAUUUCUCAAUUAUCAAAUCUCAACUGAAACCCUAUUACUCCAUCUCUCUCCCUUCCCCGCGAUCCAUGGCGGCCUCUUCGUCGUCGGUGCAGUCAGAAUCGUCAGACUCAUCCUACUCAUCUGAUUCCUCUACCUCUCGACGCCGUCGCCGGCGUCACAACCACCACCACCACCGUAGUCGACGCGACAAGGACAGGGACUCUCUCAAGGUUCGUAGU
rnacentral:lncRNA from 1 species